GUGCUCCCUUCGGUAGCACAUACACUAAAACUGGGAUAAUAAUACAAAUAUUAGCAUGGCCCAUAGAGGACUUGAUGAUUUGCGAAGUGUUCCAUAUUUAA
rnacentral:snRNA from 1 species